rnacentral:rRNA from 1 species
GAUGAACGCUGGCGGCGUGCCUAAUACAUGCAAGUCGAGCGAACAGACGAGGAUCUUGCUCCUCUGACGUUAGCGGCGGACGGGUGAGUAACACGUGGAUAACCUACCUCUAAGACUGGGAUAACUUCGGGAAACCGGAGCUAAUACCGGAUAAUAUAUUGAACCGCAUGGUUCAAUAGUGUAAGACGGUUUUGCUGUCACUUAUAGAUGGAUCCGCGCCGCGUUAGCUAGUUGGUAAGGUAACGGCUUACCAAGGCAACAAUGCGUAGCCGACCUGAGAGGGGGGAGGGCCACAGUGGGAGUGAGCCGCGGUCCAGAGACCUAGGGGAGGCAGAAGUAGCGAAGCGGCCGCGAUGGGCGGAAGCCUGACGGAUGAACGCCGCGCGGGUGAUGAAGGUCUGCGUAUCGUAUAACGCUGUUAGGGGGGAAGAACAAAUGUGUAAGUAACUAUGCACUUCUUGACGGUACCUAGUCAGAAAGCCACGGCUAACUACGUG